UGCGAAGGGUGCAAGCGUUAAUCGGAAUUACUGGGCGUAAAGCGUGCGUAGGCGGUUUGUUAAGUCUGUUGUGAAAGCCCUGGGCUCAACCUGGGAAUGGCAAUGGAUACUGGCAAGCUAGAGUCAGGUAGAGGGUGGUGGAAUUCCCGGUGUAGCGGUGAAAUGCGUAGAGAUCGGGAGGAACAUCUGUGGCGAAGGCGGCCACCUGGACCAUGACUGACGCUGAGGCACGAAAGCGUGGGGAGCAAACAGG
rnacentral:rRNA from 1 species